rnacentral:lncRNA from 1 species
UCUUUCAUAAGGAUAAAGUGUUUCUGAGGACUGCCGUCCUUCCACUGAACAAUGUUUUUAGAGCUCGAAGGCGAAGAGGGAACUUUGCAGGCCAGACUACAUUGGGCUCUAAUGUUGUACUUGGAUGGAUCCUAGGAGAAUUGUUCCCCUGAAAGGCUUUUCAUCACUUGUUUGGGCCCGUCAUCCAGAAAGUGAAAAUGCACAUUGCCAGGUGAAUUGUUCCUUGCAUCCUGGAGCUUUGUUCAUUCCAGGGUUUUGCAGUACCUAAAUGGAUUCAAAUGCGUGGUUGGGACCAAAAUAGCUGUUGCAUUUUGCCUUGGACUCCAGGAAUGCAGUGUGGAGGGAAGGGACAUUCAAUAUUAGUAACAAAAAGAUCACCGUCAUUGAACCUUUUAUGGAUGUGCAUUGUCUUAAUACUCCCUGAUCUGGAAGGUGGGGUAGCCCAGAAUUAAUGUUUAUUUUAUACUAAAUAUUCUUGUCAUUUAAACAAAAACGCGGAUGCAAAAUUAAGCCCGUCUAUCAUAGUGUUGCUGCUCGCACCUAUUUUAUACCACCCUUUUGCAACAUCUGUGCACUGCAUCACAGAAGUUGUGCUUUCUGUUUAGUUGGGUACUAGUGCUGUGCAUAAGGGUGACUAAAGGAAAUCUGGGAUCAGCCUUGUCAGAAUUGAAAAGGAAUUUCUGUAAACCAAGUCAGUCUUUGUAUUUAAUUGUGCAAGAUGCAGAGUUUAAGGGCUGCCUGUUCCAAAUAGAAACAAAUACCUAUAUGCAAGUGCAUUUUUAUGCCAUUUUACAGUUCACAGGAAAACAAAGUUUUAUAUCCCCAGAUACAAAAUAGUUAUGCAAGAAUUAAAAUGAAUACGUUCUUAAACAGUACAUGAAGCGUGCAGUUUCUUUUUUGUCUAUCAAUAUAGAAAAAAGAAUAAUGCAAAUUGUUGUUCUUUCAUUUUAGGAGGCUGAUGUUGCAACCAUUGAUGGUUCCUUGGCACUUAAGAAGGGUAAACAGUAAUUGGUUGUUUCAGUCUUUGUGUGAAGCAGACUGCAAACAGCCUCUCUAUUCUUUUUUUUCUUUUAAUCAAGCGCAUGCUUUCCUUGGAAUGUAAAUUUAAAUUUUCGAAAUGAUGCACUGAUUGGUAACAAAUGACAAUAUUUGCAACCCACUUGCAUGCUUUAGCCAUCAGAAAGCACAAUAUGUUUUUAAUUCAUGGAAGUAACUAGGUAUAAUACAAAUGUUUAAUUUACUGACCUACAAAUAUUUGGCUUAGCACAAUAAAGUAAAAUGCCAUCUACCUCACAGUACCCUCUUUUAAUCUGUUUUUGCGCACAAAUCUUAUCGAUAAAAGAGAAAUGCUAAAACAUGUUCAGUGAUAAUAAUUGUAGAUGCCUCCGGAAUCCAAUUGUAUCUUGCUUUAGGUUACCUAACAUUUUACAUUUCAUUGCAUAACAGGUUUACGCGCAUCUUCUCUUUGGCCAGCAUCCCAUAAUGUUAAGCCGUUUGGUCUUCUGACUAAUCCAUGUGUUUUCUGCAUACCUUUCAUGAUAUUUGCAAAUAACUGUUGUAUAUGUGUACGCCUUGUACUGUUUUACUCCCAAUUAACUUAGAUCUUACUUUCUUUGAAUAUACAUGGAAAAGGUCCUACAAGUAUGUGUGUGUACGCUAUGUCAUCAACGCUUGAUUAUACCGUUCUUCAAGCUGUGCGGAGAAACUGUGCUGUGGGAUGAGGUAGUAGGUUGUAUAGUUUUAGGGUCAUACCCACCACUGGGAGAUAACUAUACAAUCUACUGUCUUUCCUAAAGAGGCAGAAAGUCAACGAUGCUUACCUCGAAUGGAACUUUGCAGCAGUGUUUGUGUUGCUCUAAGGAUUAAUAAAUUGUUGUGUGUAGUGUUAAUUCGUAUAUUAAGGUCUAGUUGUAAAAUAGAGCGGGGAUCAGUAUUUUCAGUUGAAUUCACAAAUUCAGGAUCAAAUGUGAAAAUGUGCAUUAAUGGGACUCUAAUCAUUUGCAAAGCAAACACCAUUUGCUCUGGCGGUGUGAGGUAGUAGAUUGUAUAGUUGUGAGGUUGUGAUUUUACCUUGUUCUGGAGAUAACUAUACAAUCUAUUGCCUUCCCUGAGGAGUAACUGUCUUCAAUAGAUGAACAUCUGUAUCCUACUUCACGAGAAUUCCUAUGGUUCAUGUAUAAUCCCGAGAAGCUAGUCGAAGUUGCAUCAAAACGAAGGAGCCAUAAAUUGCACAAACAGCAUUUGCUGUCUUUUGCUCCAGAGUUACAUGACAUGAAUCGUUAGCUUAUUGUGUUUGCUUUAAACUCAUUUCAAUUUUAGUAGACUUCUGGCAAGUAGUGGGUCACUUGCCAGCAUUAUAUUAUAUUGCCUUUAUUUUCCAACUGUCUCUUAAACAUUGAAAAAUGAUGCUUUCUUCUGGUUGGCUAUUUUUCUGGCAAUCUUAAAUUUCUUCAGCGUAACCAUGUAACUUCAUGUAACGUUUUGUUUUUAUAGUAAAGCACUCGAAAAAUGUUUUGUAGUCAUUGUGCAGCUUGUUGGUAGUCCCUGUUGGACGACGUCAUGAAGAAACGGUGGGCUCCUACGAAGAGGUAGCAGGUUGCAUAGUUUUAGGGCAGGGACUUUGCCUGUAAGGAGGUAACUAUACAAACUGCUCCCUUUCCUAUGGCUUUAUUAUUACAACCAAGUUUGUUUAGAUGUGUUGAAAAAUACAGUAGAAGCUGUAAAUUGCUAUUGUCAGUUUUUCAUACAUUUAGUCGCAAAAAGGAAUUUGGUGUAAGUGAGCGGUAACAUAUACAUUGUUAAAUGUGUAGGCUGUCUUUGUAUUUCAUUUUCAAAUGCAGUCUGUUCUUGGAAGCAAACACAAAUAUAAGAAAUCGUACUGUGAAAAUAAUGGCCAGAAAAGCAUUUUUUUUUCAUGAGUCUGCUGUUAAAAUGCAACUAAAUGUUGGCAUUUGUGCACUACUGAUAACUCCUUGCCGUGUCUCCCAUCUUUUGUAAUGUUUUUAGAUAAACAAAAGGUCUUUCAGAUUGUUUGAACUAUAUUGCUUAGUGUUUAAUUCCCAUCAUUAAUGUUCUCUAACGCAUGAUAUGUGGGCUUCAGGACACUGUUGCGCAUUCCUAUUUAAAUACAAAUCCUCCAUGAUUAAUCUGUAGACUUCAAUAUGUUUUAAAUCACAGAACACUGUUGUGACAGAAAUGAAACCAUUCAUAAAAUUUGUAUUAAAUAGUUGCUUGUUUUAAAAAAGUCUACUUUCUUCACUAUUAAAGAACAUAAACUCAAAAAAAAAAAAA